GGUCUCGUGGUGUAAUGGUAGCACUAGGGAUUUUGAUUCCCUCUGACUAGGUUCGAGUCCUGGCGAGACUA
rnacentral:tRNA from 1 species